UACGUAGGGUGCAAGCGUUGUCCGGAAUUAUUGGGCGUAAAGAGCUCGUAGGCGGUUUGUUGCGUCGGCUGUGAAAUCCCGAGGCUCAACCUCGGGUCUGCAGUCGAUACGAGCAAACUAGAGUGUUGCAGGGGGAGACUGGAAUUCCUGGUGUAGCGGUGAAAUGCGCAGAUAUCAGGAGGAACACCGGUGGGCGAAGGCAGCAAACUGGUCAUCAAACUGA
rnacentral:rRNA from 1 species